UAUCUUUGUCGCGAUUUUGGUGUGAAUGUUUCUUUUCGAGAACAUUCAUGAAAAGGGAAUCAGGUGAAAAUCCUGAACAGACCCGCUGCUGUAAGCUUCGCCAAAGUCUUUGAACAAUACUUAAUCCACUGUUUCGACGGGAAGGGCGUUUCAAAGACGAAGUAAGUCAGAAAACCUGCCAAAUCAUUUGGUUUAGAG
rnacentral:ncRNA from 18 species